AAUCAUUUCUCUUCCUGGUUGAAUGUGCCGGUGCGUAAAUAAACACGCGAGGAUGCCAUUGGAAAAUUUGAUCGUUUAAUCAAGUUUUUCUUUCUGAAUAAAACACAUGAAAGGUGGAAAUUGAGCAUCAUGUCUCUUCCACGAGCUCGACGGCGCCUCCUCUCCUCCCUUAAAUUCUAUUCUUGCGGCCACGCAACCUUCAGCAACGCUUCAAACCCGCAGGAGAAACCUGGCAGCAGCAGCCCGGUCUUCCAGUAUGUGGGUCAGCACAAGAAACCCAGCCACAAAGUGUUCGUAUGGGGCUUCAGCUUCACGGGAGCGCUGGGCAUCCCCAGCUUUGUGCGCCCCGACAGCGGCAGGAAGAAGCCACGCAAGUAUCAGCUGACGCCUUACCGACUGGAGACAGAAGACAAGAUUUCAUCUGCCGCCUGCGGUUAUGGCUUCACUCUCCUGGCGUCCGCCACUAAAGAUGUAACCAAGCUUUGGGGCGCCGGCCUCAACAAGGACUCGCAGCUCGGCUUUCAGCGCGCACAGAGCAAUCGGCAUCAGAGUUACGAUUACGUCUUGGAGCCGUCGCCUGUACAGCUGCCGCUCCGAGAACCGCAGAAAACACGCGUAACGCAGGUGUCAUGUGGACGAGCGCACGCGCUCGUGCUCACCGAUGGCGAGGGAGUGUUCAGCAUGGGCAACAACGCUUACGGCCAGUGUGGGCGACAUAUCGUGGAAGACGAAGCUUACAGCGGAAGUCACAUGAUUCACAAAAUAAAAGGCGUGGAUGGCCGCGUGGUGCAGGUGGCGUGUGGACAGGACCACAGCCUCUUCCUAACGGAGACGGGGCGAGUCUACGCCUGCGGGUGGGGAGCGGACGGGCAGACGGGUCUGGGGCAUCACAAGGUGUGCUCUACCCCGACCGAGGUGCUGGGGGAGCUGUCGGGUGUGAAGGUUCAGCAGGUCAGCACGUACGCUGACUGCAGCCUGGCCGUGUCCGUCGACGGGCAGCUGUAUGGAUGGGGGAACUCGGAAUACCUUCAGCUGGCCUCCGUCACAGACACCACCCAGAUCAACUCCCCUCGUCGGUUGCCUCUGCCAGGCUGCGGUCGGGUGGUGCAGGCUGCAUGCGGAGGCACGCAGGUGGCUGUUCUGAAUGAAAAAGGCGAGGUAUUUGUUUGGGGGUAUGGGAUUUUGGGGAAAGGCCCCUUGCUGUCAGAGUCCUGCUCCCCAGAGAUGAUCCCCCCCUCCCUGUUUGGACGCUCCGACUUUAACCCCUCUGUCGCCGUCACCAAGAUCCGAUGCGGCCUCACUCACUUCGCUGCCGUUACCGAUCGUGGCGAGCUCUUCGUGUGGGGAAAGAACCUCCGAGGGUGUUUGGGUAUCGGGAAAAAAGAUGACCAGUUCUUCCCGUGGAGAGUUACUGUUCCCGGUCAAGUGGUGGAUGUAGCGUGUGGUGUGGACCACAUGGUGGCGCUGGUCAAGUCCCUCCUCUGAGUAGGAAUAAAAAGCAUCUUUGAGCUCCAAAGGGGAGGAAUCAACAACAAGCUAGCUGUGUGGCGGUCCGCUUAGAAGUCGCCGGCAGUGCGUCUCUUGAGUGUGUGCUUUCGCAGUAGGCCUCGUUGUUGUUUUAUGCAAAGCGUGCGGAGCGCGAUAGGACGCGCC